AGAAAGCCAUUAAGUUGGCAGUUGGGCAGCCAUGUUAGGACUGAGGGCUGGCAACUAGAAGUGACGGAGUUUACCAGAGGUGCAGAUCAGCUACUGCGUGUGCUCCCAUUCCUGUGAACAGCAGAUAGCAUCAGGCUAGUUCCCACGGUGCUUCCCCGGCUGAGGACAAGUCAUCCUGUCACCCAGCAUACAGCAGUGACUGAAGGAAGCAGAGCUGUGUUCUGAGCCUCCUGGGGAGCAGAGUGGCAUCGGGUGGGAGAAAAGGUGGCACCAGCUUUGCCUAAGCCAUCCCAGAUGCGUGGCCCACCAGAGAUUGAUAGCGGAAGGAGAAGCAAGUUUAAGGGACAGCUCAUUCUCGUACAGCCAAGGCAGACUGUGAGGCAGGGCUGGAAGCAUCAUAUAAGGACACUGCUGUCUACAGGAGAGGCAGCUGAGGGGCUUGUGGUUCCCGUGUUGGCGGACUCUCCAACAGUUGGAAUGGUGGUCUUGAGGAGACAUUUGAUAUGCGUUGUUGAUGUGUUGACUCGUGUUGUCUAGUGUGGACAUCCGGCCUGUGUCUCUUGUGGGCCAUAUGUCUUUGCCUGCCAGAAUCCUCUGGACGCCUCCUUCUGGGAUUGAGCCAUUGUGUGGAUGGUCCUAUACACAAAAAUAAACUUAAUGUUGUGCCAAA